GAUGAACGCUGGCGGCGUGCUUAACACAUGCAAGUCGAACGGAAAGGCUCCUGCUUGCAGGGGUACUCGAGUGGCGAACGGGUGAGUAACACGUGGGUGAUCUGCCCUGCACUUCGGGAUAAGCCUGGGAAACUGGGUCUAAUACCGGAUAGGACGAUGGUUUGGACGCCAUUGUGGAAAGUUUUUCGGUGUGGGAUGAGCUCGCGGCCUAUCAGCUUGUUGGUGGGGUAAUGGCCUACCAAGGCGUCGACGGGUAGCCGGCCUGAGAGGGUGUACGGCCACAUUGGGACUGAGAUACGGCCCAGACUCCUACGGGAGGCAGCAGUGGGGAAUAUUGCACAAUGGGCGCAAGCCUGAUGCAGCGACGCCGCGUGGGGGAUGACGGCCUUCGGGUUGUAAACUCCUUUCGUCAGGGACGAAGCGAAAGUGACGGUACCUGGAGAAGAAGCACCGGCUAACUACGUG
rnacentral:rRNA from 1 species